rnacentral:rRNA from 1 species
AGUACGGCCGCAAGACUGAAACUCAAAGGAAUUGACGGGGGCCCGCACAAGCGGUGGAGUAUGUGGUUUAAUUCGAUGCAACGCGAAGAACCUUACCUGGUCUUGACAUGUCGAGAACUUUCCAGAGAUGGAUUGGUGCCUUCGGGAACUCGAACACAGGUGCUGCAUGGCUGUCGUCAGCUCGUGUCGUGAGAUGUUGGGUUAAGUCCCGCAACGAGCGCAACCCUUGUCCUUAGUUGCCAGCACGUAAUGGUGGGAACUCUAAGGAGACCGCCGGUGACAAACCGGAGGAAGGUGGGGAUGACGUCAAGUCAUCAUGCC